UACGAAGGGGGCUAGCGUUGCUCGGAAUCACUGGGCGUAAAGCGCACGUAGGCGGCUUUUUAAGUCGGUGGUGAAAUCCUGGAGCUCAACCUGGGAAUUGCAUUCGAUACUGGCAAGCUAGAGUACGGUAGAGGGCGGCGGAAUUCCGGGUGUAGCGGUGAAAUGCGUAGAUAUCCGGAGGAACACCGAUGGCGAAGGCAACCGCCUGGGCCUGUACUGACGCUGAGACACGAAAGCGUGGGGAGCAAACAGG
rnacentral:rRNA from 1 species